rnacentral:tRNA from 1 species
AGAGUGAUAGUUUAAAGAAAACGCCAAGUUGCAAACCUGAAAUUGAGUAGAACUCUCACUUAU